GUCUAAAGAAAUUCGCGUAUUAGCACAUUAAAAAGUGUUACUGCUCUCAAGAGAAAACAUUUAUAAAAAAAAAAGAUAGAAAUCGCUAAGUAUUAAGAAAGGAAAAUUACAGAAUAGUAAAACAAUUCGUUUUCACGUUAAUUUAGGUUAGAAAUUCAUAGCACAAUUCAGAGCAUAGUUUUAUUUUACGUUACACAAAAAAAUGGCAGAGAAUUUCGGAAAGGAAACCUCACCGAUUUAUAACGAGGAGACAAAGACUGCGGGACAACCGUUAUCAGAUUUCUUGAUGCAAUUAGAGGAUUAUACACCUACGGUACCUGAUGCCAUUACUGAACAUUACUUGCACACGGCUGGUUUCAACGCUAUAGAUCCUAGGAUAGUACGCCUGGUGUCAUUAGCAGCACAAAAGUUUAUCUCAGAAAUUGCCAACGAUGCGCUGCAACACUGUAAAACACGUGGUGCCAAUCAGAAUACAAAAACAAAAGGAAAAGACCGACGUUAUACUCUGACUAUGGAAGAUCUGACGCCAGCAGUUGCAGAAUAUGGCAUAAUAGUGAAGAAACCACAUUAUUUCGUUUAAUUGAAUAAAUUGUACAAUUUGAUGUGUUUACUUUACAUCACAUCAGUAUGAUUAAUAAUAGUUCUAUAACAAAAAGAUAAAUAAAUUAAAAAUAAAAAGAGGACAUAGGUCUCUUAAAAUAGGUCUUCUUAAUUUCGUAAUUACAAAUAUUUGAUGACACGGAUACAUACAUCCUUUACUAUAUUACUGUAUCAUUGCUAAUAUUUUGUAAGAAUGUAAAAAAUAAGUUUAAUAUAAUAAAAAUCAUGUCAUAUAUCAA